rnacentral:rRNA from 1 species
CACACCGCCCGUCACACCAUGAGAGUUGCUUGGACCUGAAGUCGAUGUACCAACCGCAAGGAGGAAGUUGCCAAAGGUCUGGGUAGCGAUUGGGGUG